CCUACGGGGUGCAGCAGUGGGGAAUAUUGGGCAAUGGGCGCAAGCCUGACCCAGCAACGCCGCGUGAAGGAAGAAGGCUUUCUGGUUGUAAACUUCUUUUCUCAGGGACGAAGAAAGUGACGGUACCUGAGGAAUAAGCCACGGCUAACUACGUGCCAGCAGCCGCGGUAAUACGUAGGUGGCAAGCGUGAUCCGGAUUCAUUGGGUGUAAAGGGCGUGUAGGCGGGAGCGCAAGUCAGAUGUGAAAACUCAGGGCUCAACCCUGAGCCUGCAUUUGAAACUGUGUUUCUUGAGUGCUGGAGCGGCAGUCGGAAUGUAGGGUGUAGCGGUGAAAUGCGUAGAGAUCAGACGGAACACCGGUGGCGAAGGCAGAUUGCCAGACAAUAUCUGACGCUGAGGCGCGAAAGCGUGGGUAGCAAACAGGAUUAGAUACCCGAGUAGUC
rnacentral:rRNA from 1 species